rnacentral:sRNA from 1 species
GAAACAAAAAUAAUUUGCAAAGUCUUAUGGGCGUACACAUAUGGAACAAGUGACUAACACAUACCUGUGCAGAUGUUGAAGGUAAACCUGAUGGAUUGUCUACCAUCUCUAUGUCAGCAUCAGCUAUUUCAUCGCCCCCUGUAUGGGUACCAACUAAGCCAGGUUCAGCAACAUCCUUUGGUCCAUUAUCCUGAAACAUAGGCUACCAUAGAGUUAAGCGUUAGAUAAGUGGAGAAAUUAAUGUAAUAUAUAUGCAUAUAGUCAUGAAAAUCUGUAUAUAACGAUUACCAGAAGAUCUACCUCUGAAACUCUUGCAGACACAUUAGAUGGAACUUCUUCCAUCUCGGUGUCAACAGUAGCUUCUUCCACAGGCCUCUCUUUCUGUGUAACAUAGACAGUCCCAGACAUUGAACCUAAGAAGACAGUCCCAGACAUUGAACCUAAGAAGACAGUCUUACCAACAACAACAUUUCCUCUAUCCUGAAACAUAGUUUAACUAACUUCUUAAGCGAAUAUGUACGUACACCAUUUAAACAGAUUGUUAAGAGUAUUACUAGACGACAUACCAGAUGGGAUUGUGUGGAUCCAGCAUAAGGAACUAUUAAAAAUCCAGUGUCUAAUAUCUCUUCUUCAGCGGCCGAAGAAUCCAAUCCAUCAUUUGCAGUAAAAUCACUUUCAUUAUUAGCGUCAUACUGUAUCGAAACAGACAGUACAAUUAUACAUAUGGAUUAUAAAAUAUUUAGCAAUGUACGUACAUGACUUACCUGUUCAUCAACGAAUCCUUGCAUAUCUUCCUUAUUGGAAUCAGGUAGCUCAGUAGUGUCAACAGCAAAAGAAACAUUUUUCUUCGGCUUUGAAGGUUUUCUUCUUCCGCCGACAGCAGUGGUAUGUACUCCAGGGACAUCCAAAUCUUCCUCUUUCGAAUUACAGCCAACAGAAAGUGCAGGAGUGUCCACAUCAUGAGAAACACGAGUCAGCCUUGAAGACUUUCUCGUUCCAGUGCUUCCUUUUGUAGACAUCCUUCUCGAUGGCUUCUUCGCAGUAACCGGUGCCCUUAUCCAUAGAAGUAGGUGGUUCCCGCGAAUCAUGGGAAGGUAUGGUUUGUUCUGGCCUUUUGCCUUUUGGAUCAAGGGCAGCACGUAUCUGGUCACGGACAAAGUCUUUCAUAUCUUCAUGCAUUUGAUACAUUUGGUCUUCCAGCUCCUUGAAAGACCUCCUCAUUUCAACAAUAAACCUCUCAGGCACAGGCUCUCCAAAACAAUCCUCAGCAUUCUCUUCUUUAUCACAGUCCAUUUCAGAUUUCUGUUUUUUCAUAGUAGGUUCUUUAGGGCUCGGGCCCGGUGCAUUUCGUUUCCUCUUAACAUCUACAAUAGACCAGUUGCUGCUAUUAAUUGGUUUUCUUCUGGAUGCAAUACCAAAAAAAUUUGUAAACAACCUUUAUACUUAUACUUACCUGUCUCUUCUAGUUAUGGUGGGCGCAACUGCUUUGGUACUCUAGCAUAGCCUCCAACCCAUUCAUCCUCCUGCCACUGGUGCCCAUCUAUCAACAGUGCCUCAAUGUAAUCAACCCUUGGAUCAUCAACUUCAUCAUCCCAUGAAAGAGAUGGAGGACAAACAUUAUCAGCUGGUUUCACAAUAUAGUUGACCUCAACCUACACAAAUAAGUAUGUUAACCAUAGAUAAUGUACAUUUACUUAUUAUGUACGUACAUACACAAUUUAACACACCUCAUCAGCAGUCUCACACUCCAAAAUGCGAGAUGUCCGGAUUGCUCGCAGAGAGGCAAGACGAUGGAUAGACCUCUCAGCAAAUGUCCUGUUAGGUACAUCAUCAGGUCCUAGCUUAGCAAUUGAUGGGAUUGUUUCGAAAGUUAAAAGCUGGAGAGCUAAUGGGAAGCCAUGGAGUGCAUAAGACCCUACAAGUAAACCCCUUAUUAGUUGUUGAGCAUCGUAAGGAGUUUGGAAAUUUGCUAUCCUCCCCAAAGUACGGGUAAAGGACACCCUUCCCCAUGGGUAUUUGCAGAAGAACUCCAGGUUCUUAGUCAUCUCGACAGUCUUCGAAGUAGGCCUGUUGGGGUUACUGUGGGCCGCUACCACACCGUCAACCAAAAUAAUAAGAGAUAGUGCCAGUUGCUUCCACCCCUCCAUGCUUUCCUCCUCCUGCAGCCAGCUCACCAAAUCAGCAAUUGUUGGAACCGUGUUCCCAAACCUCUCAUCAAACAGAGUCUUCCAAACACUCUCACACUCAGGUUUCACACUGAUAACAUCAUCAACGUCUUUCUUCUUGAGAUACUUCCCACAUUCCAGCCUAGUUAGGAUACUAAAUUCUCUUAAUCCAAAUCUGAUUGGAUGACCGCCGAAUACAAUCCACAUCUCAUUCACCUUCUUUGUCACUAACUGACGGCAUAUUAGUCCAAGGACAAGCUUAGCAUUGAAAGAUGCCUUGUUUUUGGGUAUUUUAAAAAGUUCCCCAAAUGGAGAAUCGAGAAGAAACUGCAUCUCUGGUUUCCCCUUUAGUACAUUUGCUAUGUCAGAAAUGUACUCCGGUUUAGAGUACGCGUUCAUCUUCGUCUCGGAAGGAUACCGGUCUAGAGCAAAGAGUCUUGGUGGUAACUCUUCAACUGUAAGAUCUUCAGUCGGAGCAACACUUGGACUACCUGCAAUUAAAAGUCAUAUACUGUUAAGCAAACCGAAGUAGUGUAUGUACACAGACAUUUUCCAGAUUAUAACUCAAAAUCAUAUUUUUGGCGGAAACAGAGAUUUCCAAUUCUACUUCUCAAUUUUUCGUCCUAAAGAUAUGCUAAAUUCCGACAAAUUCUAACCCUUUAAUCAAAUAAGCUUUACAAUUCUGAUACACCCAAAGACAACAAACGGUAAAUUAGAGAUUCUAACCCAGUUCCUCCGUUGCCUUUGUCGCAGAGCGUUUUCUCUGCGGGGAAACUCUUAAUACCCGCUUCUCCUUCCCUGGACCAUGCUGCUUCCUCGGGACUUCGUCGUUAGCUUUAUUCCCAGCCAUAGCUAAAGAUGCUAUCUCGCCGGAGGUUCAAAUUUCGCCGGAAUAAACAGUAACUUUCUCUUGGCUUCGCCGGGAAAAACAGUAACUUUCACUUCCCCGGAUGUGGGAGUUCAGUGGCUCAAUUCAACUACCCAACAAUUCAAAGUUAUGUCGAAUUUUGAAGCAAUGGAUACUGAAUUUCGUUUCGCUUUCUGAUUCUCUCUCAAAUCUCUCCGUUACUCUCUUCUCUUCUUCGUUUUUUCGGGUUUCUUCGUUUCAGUUUUUUUUUUUGUCUUUUUCAAAACUGAACCGCAUCAACUAAACCGAAACCAACUGCUGUAGGGUUUGGUUUACGUCGUCAACUUAACCGAUACGAACUGCUGCACAGUUUGGUUUGUGCCAUUAUUAAGUUUUCCCAGAGUAAUUUGGUCCGAAAUUGAAUGAAAAGACAAAACGUGAAAACCAGUUCUCACUUUGACAAACGGUGAAAGCAAAUCUUUUUUCGUCCACUUCUGUGAAAAUUUCUUUUGAA